CUACGGGCCGCUGCAGCAAGGAAUAUUGUACAAUGGGGGAAACCCUGAUACAGCAACGCCGCGUGAAGGAAGAAGGCCUUCGGGUUGUAAACUUCUGUUUUAGAGGAAGAAAAAAAUGACGGUACUCUUAGAGGAAGCCCCGGCAAACUACGUGCCAGCAGCCGCGGUAACACGUAGGGGGCAAGCGUUGUCCGGAUCACUGGGCGUAAAGGGCGCGUAGGCGGUUUAUUAAGUUGCAUGUGAAAUCCCAGGGCUCAACUCUGGACCUGCAUGCAAAACUGGUAGACUUGAGUAUGGCAGAGGCAAGUGGAAUUCCUAGUGUAGCGGUGGAAUGCGUAGAGAUUAGGAGGAACACCAGUGGCGAAGGCGACUUGCUGGGCCAAAACUGACGCUGAGGCGCGAAAGCGUGGGGAGCAAACAGGAUUAGAUACCCCGUAGUC
rnacentral:rRNA from 1 species